GUAGGGUCCGAGCGUUGUCCGGAAUUAUUGGGCGUAAAGAGCUCGUAGGCGGUUUGUCGCGUCUGCUGUGAAAUCCCGAGGCUCAACCUCGGGUCUGCAGUGGGUACGGGCAGACUGGAGUGCGGUAGGGGAGAAUGGAAUUCCUGGUGUAGCGGUGGAAUGCGCAGAUAUCAGGAGGAACACCGAUGGCGAAGGCAGUUCUCUGGGCCGUAACUGACGCUGAGGAGCGAAAGCGUGGGGAGCGAACAGGAUUAGAUACCCUGGUAGUCCACGCCGUAAACGUUGGGCGCUAGAUGUGGGGACCUUUCCACGGUUUCCGUGUCGUAGCUAACGCAUUAAGCGCCCCGCCUGGGGAGUACGGCCGCAAGGCUAAA
rnacentral:rRNA from 1 species